rnacentral:tRNA from 1 species
GGGGUUGUGGCUCAGUGGUGGAGCAAACGCCUCUCAUGUGUGAGACCCUGGGUUUGAUCCUCAGCACCA